AUCCUUCGGGAGGCCGCCGUAGGGGAUUUUUCCCCAAGGCAGCAAAUCUGAAUCCUCCACACCGCCGCAGAGCAGAAGGCCUCCGGGUCGUAAAACUCAUUUAGUCCGAAGAACAAAUACCUCUUUAUACGCGGCACCUGACGUCCGCCAAAGCAGUCUGAA
rnacentral:rRNA from 1 species